UACGGGGGGGGCAAGCGUUGUUCGGAAUUACUGGGCGUAAAGGGCUCGUAGGCGGCCAACUAAGUCAGGCGUGAAAUCCCUCGGCUUAACCGGGGAACGGCCUCUGAUACUGGCUGGCUGGAGUUCGGGAGAGGGAUGCGGAAUUCCAGGUGUAGCGGUGAAAUGCGUAGAUAUCUGGAGGAACACCGGUGGCGAAGGCGGCAUCCUGGACCGACACUGACGCUGAGGAGCGAAAGCCAGGGGAGCAAACGGG
rnacentral:rRNA from 1 species